GAAACUAAUAAUUGAACAAGAUUACUUAUUUUCGAGGAUAAGAAUAUUGAAGAUCUCCUUGAAAAAGACGACAUCUUAUCACCGACAUUCAACAUCCAGGUACUAGAGGUACUUGUUGUUUAUAACAAAUAUUAAAGGGGGUGUUUGCUGGAUUUAAAAGGGGUAUUUUAUUUUUUGCAAUUUUUACUACUCCAAAUAUCAUUCUGGCCUCUAAUAAUAGUUAACUAGGGAACUCAGGAAAACCACGGGAAUGUUUAUUACUUGGUUUUUAGAUUAUAGGUUAAGUGGGUCUACUUUUAUUGGGAUAAAUAGAAAAAAUCGUAAUUUACGACUAAGCGCGGGUAAACGGCGGGAGUAACUAUGAGUACCAGCUGUGCAAAGCUGGGUUCUCAAGCUGUAAGUAUUAUAUAUAUAUAUAUUGUAAAAGAACUGAACCUCUUCUGUAAUGUAACCUAAAAUCUUACGAAAGUGAAAAAACUCGUCUGAAAAGGCGACAUUUACAGCCUUCAAAGGAUUUUACAUAAAUCUUAAAUUUAAGGCAUUACGAAAGUAAAGCUGUUCUGUAACCAAACAUGUUCUAUAUAGUGCGUCUAUUUGAUGGAUUAUCCGAGAGCAGAGAUGUUUUUAGUUUUAUUCUGGAGAACAAACUAUUCCUAGUUUUCUUACAUAUUUUUACUAAAGCAAAAAUUAAAUUGCUUUGUAAUACAGCAAAUUUGAUUUCUCACUAACUCAUUUACAAGAUUUUUGUUAAAAAAUUGCAACCCUUUUUACUUCCAAAAAUAGUCAUUUUACAUUUAGACAAAGUCUACAAUUUUACGAUUUUCAAUUGUUGUGUAAGCAUGGAGAGAGGCUUACUUGUACAGAGUGUCCCAAAAAACAUGGGAAUUCAGUGACGAAUUCGAUAUCGUCUUUGUUAUGAAUUAGCAUUGUGUUACCUAAUUUUAAAAUUGUAAAUGAACUGCAGUCAACAAUAGCAGUGGAUCGUAUGAUAAGUCGCCUCAUGUAGAGAGAUUUAUCCGUUAAAAGAUGCCAGCCCAGAAAACAUGCUUUUAACGCAUGAUUUGAACGCGUGGAAACCCAAAACCACCGUUGACCCAGGAAUUCCAUUUCAAAUUCAAGCCAAUAGGCUAGAAACACGACUUGACACGAGAGAGAAGGAAAUAGGAUCAGCCUGGGAAUAUAGUAAUCACGAAGGGUCGGAAGACAGAAGAUUAACUCGUCAAACUGUAUAUGAAAGAAAUUCAUAACAGUUUCUAACUCUAAGUGAAUAGUUAAAAGAAAUCUCCAGGCUCCAUCUUGAAACUCCUUCUCAUGCCCUUAGGAGUUUAAGGAAGGAUGGAGAUUAUGGAGAAAAAACUACUAGUUUACCGAGGACAGAGGCUUAGAACCUCCGAGGACGGAGGUUUAGAAUCUCCGAGGACGGAAGCUUAGAACCUCCGAGGACGGAGGUUUAGAAUCUCCGAGGACGGAAGCUUAGAACCUCCGAGGACGGAGGUUUAGAAUCUCCGAGGACGGAAGCUUAGAACCUCCGAGGACGGAGGUCUAGAAUCUCCGAGGACGGAGGUUUAGAAUCUCCGAGGACGGAGACUUAGAACCUCCGAGGACGGAGGCUUUGAAUCUCCGAGGACCGAGGUUUAGGGGAAUGGAGUCCCAGAACCUCAGAGGUUCGAUGAUGUGGAACCAGAGGUUCCAGCCUCCAAGAUUGGAGGUUUAGACUUCAUAGAAUAUGAGUUGGGAACCUUCAAUAUCCCACGCAUAAUCUGAAUUAUGGAUUUUUCUCUAACCAAUCAGAAUGAACUCUAAACAACUUUUUGAAUAUUUGUUUUUCCUUUUUUUCUAAAUAGGAAAAUCUUGAAUGAAUGCUAGGUAUAUAAGCUUUACUUGACUCACUUUAGAGUCAGUUCAUAUAAUCCAUUUGGAUAAGUUAAUUCAACAGUUAAGAUUUCAUUCAAGAACUCCAUUGUUGUAAGUACUUUUUCUUUGUAAAUUAAUAUUUGCUAUCUUUGAUAACUAUUAUCCAGAAAGUUUAUAAUUUUGCACUCUAGUUGUCUGUCCUUUUAAUAUCUCAGCUUAACAAAUAGAUAUCUUUAUAGAUUUGUGUUGAAUGUAAAACCUAUAAUUAUAUGUAUAUAUAUAUAUUCCCAUACCGCUGUAAUUGUGACUCUAACUGUACAAUGAGAACCUUGAAUAUUUAAUAAAUGCACUUUCUUUUUUAUAUCAUCUAUUCAGGAUUAUUUAAUCAAAACUUUUUGAAUUAUUAGUAAGGUGAAAUAAAGUUUAUCAGAUAUCUGAAUUUAAGGGCGGAUCUUUGAGAUAUUUAACAAGGGGUUUAAGUCUUUCAACAGUGAUAUAAAUUAGGAUUAUCCAGGAGAUUUGGUCUGAGACAGUAAUAUUAUUAUUUUCAUAGUUGCGUGGCGCUUUUAUUUAAUUCCAUCUAAUAAAAGUUUAUGGCGAGCAUUCUAGUGGAAUUCAGAAGACCUUGAGAAGAUAUAACCACAUUAUUAGAAAAAAAAGGUUAAUUUUUUUGGUACAUUUUUGAGAAGAAAGUACAGCUGGUACAAAACGAGACAAAUGAAAAGUGGAGAGUCUGCCAGAGAACUCCGACUUUCAAUGAUUUAAUAGUAUCAUUUUAUUUGUUCUUUUUUUAUAUUGUAAAUACAUUUUUCUUAUA
rnacentral:lncRNA from 1 species